GUUUCAGCAGCACAAAUCCCGAAAGGUCCCACCAUCAGCAAUCCCUCUCUCCAGUGCCGAACAGCGCAGCUUCCAAAUGGCAGCAUUCCUGGAGGUGUGCACUGGACUUUGGAAGAAGCGACAGCUGCAAGGAAUGCUGACUGUAAGGAGAACCUCCGCCAAGUGGCCAGUUGUUCUGCGAACAGCAUAUGGGAUUUGAAUAUCAAAACCUCAUGAGAAAUGAAGAUGGAUUCACAAAAUAUUUAAUGUGGUUGGUGUCCAAUGUGAACUGACAAAAAAAAUUGUCAACAAUAGAAGACCAGUUGAAAUAUAAAAAUAUAUUUUGA